GACGAACCGUGCGAACGUUGUUCGGAAUCACUGGGCUUAAAGGGCGCGUAGGCGGCUCGCGAGGUCGGGGGUGAAAUCCCGCAGCUUAACUGCGGAAGGGCCUCCGAUACCGGCGGGCUGGAGGAAGGUAGGGGUGCGCGGAACUUCUGGUGGAGCGGUGAAAUGCGUUGAUAUCAGAAGGAACGCCGGCGGCGAAAGCGGCGCACUGGACCUUUCUGACGCUGAGGCGCGAAAGCUAGGGAGCAAACGGG
rnacentral:rRNA from 1 species